AGGCUCGAGCAAGUAGCAAAGGGAGGAGUGGGAUUUGAUUACUGGAGUGGCCUAGUUUUCAGGCAGUUUUUGCUUCUCUAGAGGGAGACUGGCUGGAGCAAGCCAUCCUCUUUUUAUUCCUUUGUUUUGUCUGGAUUGGGGUGCAGAAACUUCUCAUUUGUGGAACUCUUUUGAAGCCGAGAAGGGGAGGACGUUUUCUGCUUUGACUUGAGGGACAAGCUACCCUACCUGCUGGAGAGACACUGAGGCAGCAACUUCACCAUUCAGAAAGAGGAAGAAGACAAGAUGGCCAUCUCUGGAUCCAUGGUCAUCGGAAGGAGAAAAAUAUUCUUGCUGGGACCAAAACUGCUGAUUACUCUUGAGCUGUUGUGUCAUCUUCCUUAGGACUGAAAGGGACCCCCAGGUCAUCGAGUCACUCUUCUCCUGCUAUCACGUGCAACUCCAUCAUGUAGUUAAGGCAUCCCAUAAAGAUCAUCUUUGGUAUGUACUUGGAGAGCAGGCAGAAACAUGGAUGCAACAGAAUACAAGGCAUGAGUCUCUUUGCUGGCCAGAUUGGGACUGAAGCUUUUGAUGCGCUCUGAAGCCAGAGGGUAACAACACCUGUCUGAGACAUAGCUGACCUAAGAUUCACUGAGUAUGAACAUUUCACAACGUUUUCUUUUGACAACGUUGUUACCAGGCAGCAAUUGCAUGCCACAGCUCUCCCCUCUGCAGCAGCGUUUCUAUAACAGGACUUUUCUUGUUCUCUAAAUAUCUUACAGAGCGAACCAGGAGCUGCAAACCCUUACUCCUAUUAAUUGUUAUCAUUUGUAUUACCAUACACGUAUGAUCGUCACAGUCAUGGAUCAAAACCCCACUGUGCUAGGCACUACGUUUAAUACUAUGGUUUGCAGGAGGUCAGACAAGAUGAUAUGGUGAUACCUUCAGAUGGGAGUAAAGUUAAUAUUUGGGAGUCUGAAUUUGCAGGAUCGGGCUUAAAGUAUAAUUUGAACGUAUUCUGGAAUAUUCUAUAUUCACUGACUUUCAUCCAGGAUCUCCGAGUUCUUUUGCCUGGGCUGUUCACUUGUGAAAACAUCCAAGAAACUUGAAUUUGAUAUAAAGCUUUUGCUAUAAAAGGCAGACCUGAAUUCGAUAUAAAGAUUUUGCUGAUAUACUGCCUGUGAGGCAGUCAUUUAUUAUAUAAGCACUGGAAAGGGUGUUUUGGUUUUAGCUUUUUUCUUCUUUUCUGAAUGGACUGCCAGAGGAUUUUUCCGAUGGCAAUUGCUGUGAAUUAGUUUGCAAUUCUGUGUCUGUGAAUGCUUGAAAAACAAAUUAAUCCACGGGAUUUCAUUCAUAAAAUGUUAUUCACUUCAUGCAUUCAUUUUUUCAUUUGAGAUUUCCUCAGCACAGCACUUCAGAGGAUGCACAACUCUGUAGGACAGUAGCACACUGUAGAUGAUUAUUAAUGAUUAAA